rnacentral:lncRNA from 1 species
AAAUAUUCCUUUGUUAUUUUUUUAAUUCUGAUUUUUAAAAAUUUAUAUUCUAUUUUUUUAAAUUUUAAAAAUAUUUUUAGGGUUACGGUGUUAAUUGACCGGGCAAAAUGAUCAAAUUAUCUGUACUUGUUUUAUGAAGAAAUAGUUUUUUAAGAGUUCGGCUGCUACACUAUCGAUAGCACGGUGUUACCAAGUUAUUUUCGAUUAUGCGGCUUUUAAAUCGAUGAUCGAUGCUGUUAGAUUUUAUCUACACUAUUGAAAGUAUUAGGAAAUUAAAUUUUAUAAUUUUUCGACAUGAUUCACCUAUCAAACGAGUAGUUUUAAAAUAAAUAGUGGAAAAUAAAAAAUUUGUAAAAAUGAUGAUAAAAUACCUGAAUUUAAGAUUAGAUGUAUUGUUCUUACUCUAAACUGUAAAAAAUAUUUUAUAAAAAUUUCAUCAAAUUUAGAUUGUUUUAUACCGUUAAAUUCACAAACGCAUCAAAUCUACCAUUAAAAUUGUCAAUUUUGAGACCUUUUGACCACUAGCCAAAUGAU